UACAUUCGGAGUUAGAACUAGAAAUAUUUGAUUGAUGUAAUAAAACUAUAAUAGUUAACGUAUUCUAAUAAAGUAAUUCAUCCUACAGGAUCUAAAAAAAGUAAGUAUAUUAUUUGUAUUCAUUUAAUUUUAUUUCAUUUAAACUUCUGGAAUCAUAAUCUUAAAAUGAACGUCGGCAUACAGCCGUACAUAUAUUUCCUAAAAUUCAAAAUUUAAACAUCGUGGACUAAAAAUAAGCUUAAUAUAAAGUUUAGAAAAAAACUAAUAAAAACUAUAGAAUGGAAAUAAUAUAAAUGUAAUAAAAAUACAAAAUGAAAAUAGCAGGGUUGCUACGUUAUCUGGAAAACCUAAAAAACCUGGAAAUAUCAGGGGAUUUUAAAAUUGUACUAGAAAUUCAAGAGAAAUAAGAAAAAAAGCUGAAAAACAAAUUAACAGUAUCAAUAGUAUUAAUAAAAAUGUUCAAUAAUAUUUAAAUAUUAGGUAUAUGUUUAUAUCUGUACAAUAAUGUAGGAUCAAAUUACUGGAUUAACUAAAUUCGUUUUAGAAAGGUCGAGUUAAGUUUUAUAAAAUCCAUUAUUUAACGAUUUGUAACGAGACAAAAAUGCUGUGAAUAGCAUUAAAAAAUUAAUAUUAUUGAGUUCAUCAUCAAUGAUAUUGCCGACUAUUAUAUCCUGUCGACUACCAUUAUUUAACUGAAACAGGUUACUGUCAUACCGGAGCACCGUUUCAAUACAUAUAUAAUAUAGUGUCCAACUAAAAAUAACCUGGGAAAUCAAAAAAUGUUGAAAUCUAACACCAGUGGCAACUUUCAAUAAAUAAACGUACACCUUGAUUUAAAAACAUAAGCAAAAGUAUUUCAUAAAAAUACUCUUAGUAAUAAAUAUUACCUAUUUAAUAUCAAAUAGGGAAUGUGUGAGGGACGCGGGUGGUCGGUAAUAAUGGUCUGUGGAAAAUAUGACUAAGUACAAGAAUAACCAGAGAAAAUUUUUAGACUUUUUUUCAUGUCCAUUUUUUAUUUGGCUAUUAAUAUCUCUAUACUCGCAUGUGUGUAUAUGUGUGUAUAGAAGAGUGAAUAAUAUAAACUUGUUUAAUGAAAUAGAAUUUGGAUUCUAAUAGUAAAUUAAAAAACAUAUUUUAUAAUAUUUAUCUCAGUUUAAUUUUAAAUUAUAGGAAUAAACAUGGAAGGUUGGCUGCGUCAAUUAAUAGAUAGUAAGUUAUUAUUAUCUAUAUUUGACUAAUGAGACAAAUGACUAUUUAACUUUUUUAUUUCAAUUUUAUUCAUACGUGAGGUAGGUAUAUUAGGGUGAUUCUUAUUUUUGAAGUUCCGAUAUGUGACGCUAAGACCCCCUAAUUUGUUCUUAUGCGUAUAAAAAUAAUAUGAUUAUAGUUUCGUCACUUUUUGGGAUUAUGGUAAUAGUUUUUCAGUUUUUCCUAUUAGUCUCAACAAAUAUUCAACUUGCAAUGAAUAAGUAUUGAACAUUUAUUGUUAAUAAUAUUAACCUUACCAUGUAAAAACAAAAAAACCAAAAUGAUAUUACAAAAACUCGCUCGAAUUAUUAUUUUACAUAAAAAUCAAUAAUGAAAAUAAUAUACGUGCACAGUGAGUCCUGAAAAAUCACAUGUAUUUCAAAUGUAUUAAAUGUAGAGAUGCCUUUUUUUUAGACGACAUUUUAUUAAAAUUAUUAAUACGUGUUUGGGGGGAUCAAGAUGUCCUGGACCUCCCGGUGUAAAUCCACUACUGUACGUGCUAUACCCAUUAUCUUUGGGUAAUGGUCUUUUUCUGUAUUUCCAUCGGGUAUUAAUUGAUUAAUGUUAUAGCUAAAAGUCUUUUAUAAAAUGUAAUUAAAAUUUAUAAGCUAAAAAUUAAUAAUUUGCUGUUUGAAUACCGCCAGAUCAAUCGUUUAUUUUUAAUAGAUGAUAUGUCAUCUAUAGAUGGAUUUAUGUAAAACUAAUAAUAAUAAUAGAUUUUGAACAUAAGUAAUAGCAUAUUAUUACUAAAUAUAAUAGGUAUAGAUAAGUACUUGCCGGUAUUAGUUAGAAUAAAAAACGUAAAAUUUCAAUUGUCAUCAACGGGACAGAAACCUGUCGGCGUGUAUACCUACCUAAAGUUAGUCCGGUGAUAGUCACCUAAUAUUCCGAUUAAUUGAACUACAAGUUAAACUGUUGAAAUAUCAAUAUUUAUAGAUACUUCGUCGGAAUAUGCAUUUAUUACGAAAACAAUAAUAACUGUGUACCUACAUUUUCAGCUGAUCCAUUACACGGUGAAACCUAUUAUUCGUACAUGAUGAGAUGUCUGAGACGAAGUAAUGUAUAUUAUAUGAGUAUAAAUAUCUACAAUAUAUAUCACACCCUUAGAACAAAACCACCAUAAUUCAUAAAUUGAUAGUUUCGACAUAUUGAUAUCGGUAGAAUCACAAACAUUUUCUGUACAAAAUGAUAGACCGCUAUAACGUAUAACAUUAUACCUAUUAGUCUCGAUCAAACCUAUUAUAGUGUAUUUUCAUAAUAGAAUUUAAAAUUUUAUUUUUUUUUAUUUUAGUAAAAGUGACACUAACACAUAAAAAAAAAAGCUGUCCUAGGAUAAUGGUAACGGGUGCCGACACUGUUGUAGGUGGGAAGUUUGGUAGUUAGGGUACAGAAGGGAAUUUAAUGUACAGCUGUAAGCAAUGAUACACCAUUGCUAACGAAAAACGAAUCAUUUGAUAUUAAUGCUUUUUAUAGUAAAAUAAUUAAAUAUAUUUUCUUUUAUAAUAUUUGUUCAAUAAUAUAUCGAUUUUUCGGUUUUUCCUACGUUUUUUCCAGUUUUUUAUAUUUGCUGGAAAACUCUUGGGAAAAUCAAAAAAUGACCUGCUUAAAGUACCUUCCCAGUUGAAUUUCCUUUUAGAAAAAGUGCCAUCAUUGUAAAUCGGGGCAAAAUUGCUGAUAGAAAAGUUGUCCAGAGAAAAAAAAUCGUAAUGUUUUACUAAUAUAUUUCACACAUUUUUCUCGUUUUUCCUCCGAUUAUUUUUUUGGGAUUUUUCACAUUUGAUGAGAAAAUUCCUAAGAAAAUCGAAAAGUGGCCUCCCUAAAGUAUUACCCCAUAAAAAGGGUCCAUAUCGUAUACAUCGGACUAAGCUUUCUGAUUGAAAAAGUAUUCAUAGAAAAAAAAAAAAAACAAAAAUAUAAAAAAUACCUUUCUAAAACCAAUAUAUUCUUCGUUACACUCAUAAUCUAAAAUCAAUGUAUUGCUUAGAGAUAAUUUAUAUUUUAAUAAUAUUCUGAAAAUUAAAAAUAUUGUCAUUUAUGACGGUUUGUCUACAGUAUGUACUGGUGUUAAUUAAAAUUAAAUUUUAGACUGACAUAUUUAAGUUUUUGAUUAUUUUGAAUUUGUAUUGUUUUCAUAUUAAUCACCAUGACUAAUAUGACAGAAUAAAGUUUUUAUACCCCACGUUAAUCUAAUAAUAUAAUGGUGGUUUGGGUGAUUUUAUUUUAUUUUAAUCUAUUUAUCAUCAAUAACUACGGAAUGUUUUAAAUAAGCUAUAAGAGGCUAUAAUAUUCAAUAUUCCGUAAUCGGGUUUUCUCCUCCUUCGCUUUCAUUCAAACUAAUUGGAAUCAGCCACUUUCAUACUAAACUUCCAAUCCCCCACCUCGAGUACAUCCACCCGAGCUUUCCACCAGUAGGAGCUCGGGACCAUGGAUUUGCUCAACCCGUAGCAUCAUAUACCGUCCUGAGGUAGUACUCGGGUUUUCCUAAUUUGAAAUAAUCUUUUUAAUUUUAAAUUUAAUAUCACUAGUAAAUAAACCAUCAUAUAUUGUAUAUUAUAUAAAUAUACGGCCAUUAUUAUGAAAAAAAAAAAAAAAUAAAAUAAAAAUGCGUUUUCAUAAUCACCUAUGUAACUUUCGCAUCAAACAUUUAAAAAACCGAAUUGUUUUGUUUGUAACUCUGAAGAUGAUUUGUAGAUAAAUAAAUUGAAUUCGAAGGAACUCAUUAUGACUUUUUUAUUUUUUCAGACAGAAUAGCAAUGACCCACCAACUUGUUAUUAGUUAUUAUAAAUGCCGUUCGAGUAAGUAUUUAUUUAUAAUGACGAAAAUGGCCAAAAAACAACAAUAUUUAUUAUAUUAUUUUAUGUUUUAUUAUCUUCUCAUUACCUAACCUAACCUACCUACAAUGGUAUAAUAUAUAAUGAUAAAUAAAUAAAUUUAUUUUUUAUUUUUUAAUUAUUGAUUUAUUCAGUGAGCAAUGGUAAGUAUACAUAGGUGCAUUAUUACCACUUCUUAAUUUAAUAAAAAUAAUUGUUAUCCAC